rnacentral:rRNA from 1 species
GGACCCGCACAAGCGGUGGAUGAUGUGGAUUAAUUCGAUGCAACGCGAAAAAACCUUACCUACCCUUGACAUGUCAGGAAAUUUCGCAGAGAUGCGAAAGUGCUCGAAAGAGAACCUGAACACAGGUGCUGCAUGGCUGUCGUCAGCUCGUGUCGUGAGAUGUUGGGUUAAGUCCCGCAACGAGCGCAACCCUUGUCAUUAGUUGCUACGCAAGGGCACUCUAAAUGAGACUGCCGGUGACAAACCGGAGGAAGGUGGGGACGACGUCAAGUCCUCAUGGCCUUAUGGGUAGGGCUUCACACGUCAUACAAUGGCAUCUACAGUGGGUUAAUCCCCCAAAAGAUG